rnacentral:lncRNA from 1 species
UAUGUACAAGACGUAUUUCCAAAUGCAUUAAUUCCCUACAUUAGGAGGUCGCUCAUCGCUCCUCGGACCUCAGACCCUGCACAUCAAAGGAAUAGAACAAAAUGCGGACCUGUAGUCCAUUAUAUAAGUCUUAAAGUAAAUUAGCAGAAAAGUGUGCAUUUUAAUUGCAAUUGUCUAAGCAACGUGACGCGUUGUUCUAAAGAAUCGGCAAUAGCAAUUAAAGCGACUGAUUUGCGCCUUCUAAAUGAUAAUGUUAUUUUAAGUAAUGUAAUGAAGAAACACGGAAAAUAUAACAAGUGACCGAGAAAA